rnacentral:rRNA from 1 species
AGUGAACGCUGGCGGUAGGCCUAACACAUGCAAGUCGAACGGCAGCACAGUAAGAGUUUGCUCUUACGGGUGGCGAGUGGCGGACGGGUGAGGAAUACAUCGGAAUCUACUUUUUCGUGGGGGAUAACGUAGGGAAACUUACGCUACUACCGCACACGACCUACGGGUGAAAGCAGGGGAUCUUCGGACCUUGCGCGAUUGAAUGAGCCGAUGUCGGAUUAGUUAGUUGGCGGGGUAAAGGCCCACCAAGGCGACGAUCCGUAGCUGGUCUGAGAGGAUGAUCGGCACAACUGGAACUGAGACACGGUCCAGACUCCUACGGAAGGCAGCAGUGGGGAAUAUUGGACAAUGGGCGCAAUCCUGAUCCAGCCAUACCGCGUGGGUGAAGAAGGCUUUCGGGUUUUAAAGCCUUUUUGUUGGGAAAGAAAAGCAGCAGGUUAAAACCCCGCUGUUCUGACGGUACCCAAAGAAUAAGCACCGGCUAACUUCGUG